rnacentral:rRNA from 1 species
AGGUUUGGCACCUCGAUGUCGGCUCAUCGCAUCCUGGGGCUGUAGUCGGUCCCAAGGGUUGGGCUGUUCGCCCAUUAAAGCGGUACGCGAGCUGGGUUCAGAACGUCGUGAGACAGUUCGGUCCCUAUCCGUCGUGGGCGUAGGAAAUUUGAGAGGAGCUGUCCUUAGUACGAGAGGACCGGGAUGGACAUACCUCUGGUGUACCAGUUGUCGUGCCAACGGCAUAGCUGGGUAGCUAUGUAUGGACGGGAUAAGUGCUGAAAGCAUCUAAGCAUGAAGCCCCCCUCAAGAUGAGAUUUCCCAACUUCGGUUAUAAGAUCCCUCGAAGAUGACGAGGUUAAUAGGUUCGAGGUGGAAGCGUGGUGACACGUGGAGCUGACGAAUACUAAUCGAUCGAAGACUUAAUCAAUUUUUAAA